AUUGAACGCUAGCGGCAUGCCUAACACAUGCAAGUCGACCGGAGUGGCGAACGGGUGAGUAAUGUAUCGGAACGUGCCCAUUAGCGGGGGACAACUACGCGAAAGCGUAGCUAAUACCGCAUACUAUUGGAGCGGCCUAUAUCGGAUUAGCUAGAUGGUGGGGUAACGGCUUACCAAGGCGACGAUGCGUAGCGGGUUUGAGAGGACGACCCGCCAAACUGGGACUGAGACACGGCCCAGACUCCUACGGGAGGCAGCAGUGGGGAAUUUUGGACAAUGGGGGAAACCUGGAUCCAGCCAUCCCGCGUGUGCGAUGAAGGCCUUCGGUUUGUAAAGCACUUUUGGCAGGAAAGCGGUACCUGCAGAAUAAGCACCGGCUAACUACGUGCCAGCAGCCGCGGUAAUAC
rnacentral:rRNA from 1 species